GUGGGAGUGCCCAGUCAUAGGCGGAUAUUGGAAACGAGUACAGACGCUACUGACAAACAUCCUGGGACGACAUGUAGACAUGGACCCCUGGUCCGUCCUACUGUCUAGGCCAAUAUAUGGCCUCCCCAGAAAAGAACAACAACUCUUUAAUAAAAUCAUCCUGGUGGCCAGGUGGGCACUAGCCCAGGCAUGGCUAACACCCACAGUCCCUACGGACAAC